rnacentral:misc_RNA from 1 species
GAUGAAGAACGUAGCGAAAUGCGAUAAGUAAUGCGAAUUGCAGAAUUCAGCGAGUCAUCGAAUCUUUGAACGCAUAUUGCGCCCCCUGGUAUUCCGGGGGGCAUGCCUGUUCGAGCGUCAUUACAACCCUCAAGCUCUGCUUGGUAUUGGGCCCCGCCAGUUCUGGCGGGCCCUAAAGUCAGUGGCGGUGCCUUCCGGCUCCGAGCGUAGUAAUUCUUCUCGCUCUGGAGACCCGGUUGUGUGCUUGCCAACAACCCCCAAUUUUUUAAGGUUGACCUCGGAUCAGGUAGGGAUACCCGCUGAACUUAAGCAUAUCAAUAAGCGGAGGA